rnacentral:rRNA from 1 species
UCAGGUCAAGGAUCGAAGGGCGUAUGGCGGAAGCCUAGGCACGCAGAGGCGAAGAAGGACGGAGCAAACACCGAAAUGCGUCGGGGAGCCGUAAGCAGGCAGAGAACCGGCGAUGUCCGAAUGGGGAAACCCGCAUGAGCAUGACUCAUGCAUCCCCUGCCGAACACAUAGGCAGGGAGAGGCGAGACGCAGGGAACUGAAACAUCUAAGUACCUGCAGGAGAAGAAAUCAACAGAGAUUCCGUAAGUAGCGGCGAGCGAAAGCGGAGGAGCCCAAACCGUCUUAGGACGGGGUAGUAGGAGCCGCAGAAAGCCGAUCGAAGCAUCAUAGCCGAAGGCGCUGGGAAGCGCCGCCGGAGAGGGCGACAGUCCCGUAGGCGAAAUGGUGGUAGAGGGCGAGCGGAGAUCCUGAGUACGGCGGGACACGAGAAAUCCUGUCGGAAGCAUCGGGGACCAUCCCGAAAGGCUAAAGACUACUGCGUGACCGAUAGCGAACCAGUACCGUGAGGGAAAGGUGAAAAGAACCCCGGGAGGGGAGUGAAAGAGAACCUGAAACCAUAUGCCUACAAGAAGUCAGAGCCCGUCAAAAGGGUGAUGGCGUGCCUUUUGUAGAAUGAGCCGGCGAGUUGCUUUUUCAGGCGAGGCUAAGCAGGAUAUGCGGAGCCGAAGCGAAAGCGAGUCUUAAGAGGGCGAGCAGUCUGAAGGAGCAGACCCGAAACCGGGUGAUCUAGCCAUGGACAGGUUGAAGUCGGGGUAAGACCCGAUGGAGGACCGAACCGACCCCCGUUGAAACGUUGGCGGAUGAUCCGUGGCUAGAGGUGAAAUUCCAAACGAACCCGGAGAUAGCUGGUUCUCCCCGAAAUAGCUUUAGGGCUAGCGUCGCGAGACGGCAUGCGAAGGUAGAGCACUGAAUAUGCGAUGGCCUCAUCCCGAGGUACUGAGCAUAAUCAAACUCCGAAUGUCGCACGUCCAGUCGCGGCAGUCAGUCCGCGGGUGAUAAGGUCCGCGGACAAGAGGGAAACAGCCCAGACCAUCAGCUAAGGUCCCAAAGUGCAUGCUAAGUGGAAAAGGAAGUGGAGACGUGCAGACAACUAGGAGGUUGGCUCAGAAGCAGCCAUCCUUCAAAGAGUGCGUAACAGCUCACUAGUCGAAUGACUCUGCGCCGAUAAUUUACCGGGGCUAAGCAUGACACCGAAGCUAUGGAUUCGAAUGAAUGGUAGGGGAGCGUUCCAUGCGGCGAAGAAGCGCGACCGAGAGGGCGCGAGGAGCGCAUGGAAGAGAGAAUGCCGGCGUGAGUAGCGAGACGUGGGUGAGAAUCCCACGCACCGAUGGCCCAAGGUUUCCAGAGGAAGGUUCGUCCGCUCUGGGAGAGUCGGGACCUAAGGAGAGGCCGAAAGGCGUAUCCGAUGGACGACGGGUGGAGAUUCCCGUACCCCAUCGAGAGCGAGGGAGUGACGGAGACGGCAGGAGCGACCGGCUGACGGAAUAGCCGGGGCAAGCGAAG